rnacentral:snoRNA from 1 species
CCAGCCUUAGAGGUGUUGCAGGUGUGGCUGCUGUGUCACUUGUACAUCAGUAGGUGGCAGAGAGGAGAGAGAGGCUAUGUCUGUGUUAUGACCUCUGGAAA